AUCUAUAUAUAUAUAAUAUACAUAUAUACACAAAUACAGUAUUUUCUAUUUUUUAUAGUAACUGGCAUGUCUUUCCACUUCAUGUGCUCAGCCGCCGCAUGUGGUGAGUGACAGAGACCACCCUGCAUGUGUGUGCGCUAUUUUACUGCCUUUUUCUUGACCACAGAUUCUACCUCCUGUUUCUCUGUGUAUGCAGUGAUGAUUUGCUGAAUAUUACACAUUGUGGGUAACUUGUUGAGCACACUCAGGAUCCCUAACCUUCCUCUGAAGCUUUGCAGCUCCUGUUCUAGCAGCUAGCACAGGCACUGCUGGGUCAUCGUGACAUGGGCAGGCUUGGUUGGAUUCGCUGUUGGUGUGAAUCUGUGGAGAGCUCCAAUCCUGCACCCACUCCAAUCUCCCCCUCCUGGACCUGGUAGGAUGGCCAUGCUCCGCCCACACCUGAGCUCUCGGUGCCACGAUCUGCAGGUGUACUCCAGAGGACAAGUGUACUGUGGGUGCGUCUCAUUCAUUCUCCUGCCCUUGCCCUCAGGUUCUGGCUGGCACAGCUGUGGUCACAGACUAAAAACAGCCACCUCAUUCGUUUUAUGCAGCUUUACAGUUGUUUAUGGCAGAUGUGUGACUUCGGUCCCUGUUCCCUCAUCAUGGCUAGAACAAGUUUUGGCAAAUUAUUCCUAUAUCUUUACAUGUGAAAACUAAAGGAAAGUUUCACCCAUAGAAUAUUAGUGUUGCCACAAUCCUAAUGAGUGUUUCUCCAGAAACUACAAGCCAGGUCAGCAGCCAGUCAUUUCAUAGAAGAUAAACUUCAAGAACAUUCUCUGAAGGGCAAUGAAACUGAGUAAGAUCUAACCACUGUUACCAGCAACCAAGAAAACUAGACAAUUAAGUUAUUCAUCAUGCAUGACCCAGUAACAUUUCUCAGCGGUUGGAUUCAAUACGAGAAAUAAGCAAAUAACCGCAAUGCUUCUUCCAUUUCAAAGUCAUUUCUCUUAUAAAAAGUGGUCAAGAAAAAUGCCUGUUGCCUUACAUACUGGCAGAAACCCGACUACUGGGCUAGUGGUCAAUUCUGAGGCACCCAGCAUGUUCAGGAGGCAGCGUCGGGGAGCAUGUCCCUUACCUGGAGGGGUGUAGGCGUCCAUGGAGGUCUGCACGACCAGGGACCUGCGUUUGGAAGGCAUAGGCACCGCCAUCUUCUGCUCUUUGUGUCUGGAGCCGCCUGGACAGCUUCCGUGUGGACGUCUGAAACGGAGAGAGCUCAGUCAGUGCUCAGCUGAGGUCCCAGAGGCCAAGCUGCACCCUCCUCUCUGUCCCCGCAGCACGGUUCAUCCACCUUCUGAAACUCACCAACAGAUGGGUGGGUGAGGAAAGAAAAUCAGUGGUUACAGUUCCAGUAAAGACAUUAAAAUUUAUUCACAGACUUUU